CCCGGUGGCUCAGACAGUAAAGAAUCUGCCUGCAAUGCAGGAGACCCAGGUUCAAUCCCUGCGUCGGGA
rnacentral:tRNA from 1 species